AAUAUGGUGUUUGGCCCCAUGUCAUAAAUUCCUCUGCUAUAUCCAACAGUUUAGAGCGCCUACAUGAUCAAUUACAGUCAAAGAUUCGAACUUCACAUGAUAGAAUCAGAGAGUUAGUGGUGGGUGCUCAGAAUGAGAGUGAAUAUCAUGAUAAAGAUAACACUUGUACUGGCAACUUGAUGCAUCAAUCUCCUCAUCAAUCCACGAUUAAAAAUGGCAUUUCUCCUUCUAAUCACUAUAUAGACGAAUGGCAUCUGGAGCCUACUAAUAAAAUGAUGAGAUAUAGACGUGAAAUUGAUAUGGCAGACAAGACGCAUCAGCAGUUAAACAAGAACAAUUUCUCAGAUUUCUCAUUUGAUCCUUCUAGGAAGGUUGUUGGUCCUCUCUCCAACAGUUUGUUUGAUAAAGGUAAUGUGAGAACAGGAGAUGCGACCAAGGACUUGCUGCAUCCUUCCACCACACAUGAUGAGAUUGGUUCCUCAGUUUCUGAAGAGGGUCCUGGAAUAGAGGGUUUUCAGAUUAUUGGUGAAGCUACACCUGG
rnacentral:misc_RNA from 1 species